rnacentral:rRNA from 1 species
GAUGAACGCUAGCGACAGGCCUAACACAUGCAAGUCGAGGGGCAUCGGGGCGUAGCAAUACGCUGCCGGCGACCGGCGGAUGGGUGAGUAACGCGUAUGCAACCUGCCUUCAGCAGGGGGAUAGCCCGUUGAAAGACGGAUUAAUACCCCGUAACACAGGGGCUCCGCAUGGAGAUUAUUGUUAAAGGGAUACUUCCUUCGGGGGGUAUUCCGGCUGAAGAUGGGCAUGCGUUCCAUUAGGUAGUUGGUUGAGGUAACGGCUCACCAAGCCUACGAUGGAUAGGGGAACUGAGAGGUUGGUCCCCCACACUGGUACUGAAAGCACGGACCAGACUCCUACGGGAGGCAGCAGUGAGGAAUCUUGGUCAAUGGACGGAAGUCUGAACCAGCCAUGUCGCGUGAAGGAGGACGGCCCUAAGGGUUGUAAACUUCUUUUGCAGCGGAAUAAAGUAUUCCACGAGAUGGGAUAUUGCAAGUACGCUGCGAAUAAGGAUCGGCUAACUCCGUG